CCUACGAGAGGCAGCAGUGGGGAAUAUUGGGCAAUGGGCGCAAGCCUGACCCAGCAACGCCGCGUGAAGGAAGACGGCUUUCGGGUUGUAAACUUCUUUUGUCAGGGACGAAGCAAGUGCCGGUACCUGACGAAUAAGCCACGGCUAACUACGUGCAAGCAGCAGCGUUAAUACGGAGGUGGCAAGCGUUAUCCGGAUUUACUGGGUGUAAAGGGCGUGUAGGUGGGGAAGCAAGUCAGAUGUGAAAACCACGGGCCUAACCUGUGGCGUGCAUUUGAAACUGUUUUUCUUGAGUGCUGGAGAGGCAAUCGGAAUUCGGGGUGUAGCGGUGAAAUGCGUAGAUAUACGGAGGAACACCAGUGGCGAAGGCGGAUUGCUGGACAGUAACUGACGCUGAGGCGCGAAAGCGUGGGGAGCAAACAGGAUUAGAUACCCCUGUAGUC
rnacentral:rRNA from 1 species